rnacentral:tRNA from 1 species
CGGCCAGUGGCGGAGCGGUCAAACGCAUUUCCGUUUCAAGGAGACAAUCGCGGGUUUGAAUUCCGUCUGGUUGC